AAAAACAAAAAAAAAACCAUGUAUUUUAUUUAUGAAAUGUAUUAAUCAAAACUUUUUGCUGUUAGUAGUGUACUAUGAUUUAUAUACAACAAAAUAUAGCAUGAUAAUCAGAAAUGAAUUUUAUUUAAUCAAAUUGAGAUCGUGACAAUUUGAAGUGAUGCAUAUUUGAGUGACAGUAUUGUUUAUUCAUUACACAAAGAAUAUAGCAUUAUAACUGGGCAAAAUCAAAACUGAAAGCUUUAAUCAAAUUGAGAUUUGGUAAAUUUGAAUUGAUGCCAUUUUGAAAAAAAAGAUGUAAUACAUUAGUUAAAGGUAUUAUCAAUUUUAUCCAGAUUUUAUUAUCAAUCAAGUAAGAUAAUCCAUUAUUAUUAUAAAUGAUUCAUUCUGUCACUUCAAAGGGUUAUCACCCCUUCAUGCAAGCAUUCAUUUUAAAAUUUCAUCAUUUUACUUUUUGGACCUUUAAACUACCACAAUCAGAAUUUAACGUUGUUAUUGUUUUGUGCCAUAGUUUUUGUCCACAAAAGUCAAAUAAAAAAGACAAACCAAUUAUUAACAUUUAAAAAAGAUGUGAAUUCCAGUUUUUAGAUUCUUUUUUAAAUAAUAAAAACGACUUUGCAAUUUUAAUAGGAGGGCAUAUUUGCCCUGUUGUUCAGAUCAGAAGUACCUGUUUUUGUAGUAUCUAACUUCUGGGAACCAGUAGUCUUUAAUAUGCAAUUAAAGGAAUGUUGAUUUUUUUCAGCCAAAAUAUUGCCACUUUAUUUAAACUUAAAACAAGUAGCUAAUAAUGCUUAAAAGUACAGAAUCUAACAUACAAAGCAAUGGGGCUAUAAAUAAGUGGUUUGAUACCUUAAAAGAAAAUAGGUCACUGUAAUAACAUCGAAACCAAGUGUUGAGAAACCCCUCUAUAAAGAAGGACAAUUGUUGUAAAAGUUAAAAUCCAAACCAUAGUGGAUUAUGUGUUUUAUGUGCCAUUACAUGUAUGUGUUCAGUGAAAAGAAAAUGAAAUGUAAGCAAAGAUUUAUUUUGAAGGUAAAAGGAUGAAAAGUAUUUUUUGAAGCAAUAGGAAGCAAUAGGAUGGGCAUUAAUGGUAAAUGGUUGUAUGUUGUGUUUUUUAUAAGUUAAUUUGAUCUACAACCAAGUUGGCUGUUAAUUUUUUUGUUCAAAUGUGUUUAAAACCAGGGGAAAACAGUAAAGUGUUAUGAUUUGUAAUGUUUUCUUUUUUAAGAAUAUAGUUUCAGUUAUAGUGUAGUUGUCCAAUUUUUUUUAUAUGGACAUUUCAGAGUUAUAACAUAAAACUUGCCUUUACAUCUCCAUGACAAAAGAAAAUAGAAAUCCUUUUAUGAUUACUUUAUUAAUUCAUCAUAUUUAUGUUAUGUUAUGUUAGGUUUAAUAUGUUAUUUUCUUUUAAUUUCUAUUUUAAGACUUUGGCUGGUCUUAAUACAAUUUACAACAGAAAUCCAUGUAUAUAAUUCAAACUAUUUAUUUUACCUAAUAGGAUGCAAUAUUAUUUUCUUAUUUGAAUAACUUGCUUUAAUGUUAUAGAUAUGUAUUCAGUUUGUGGAAUAUAUAUCUUUUGACAUUGGAACUUAAAAAAUACUUGUUCUGAUUUCCAAUAGCAGAGAAUUUAGUAGAAUCUGAUAUUACAAUAAAACCUGUAUAAACGUCGGGCUACGGGAUAUGAAAAAGGGCCGGUUUGGCAGUGAGCCGGUUUAUUCAGGUUUCCGUUUUGACCGGAAGGUAAUGACUUGUGAACGUCCGAC
rnacentral:lncRNA from 1 species